rnacentral:pre_miRNA from 1 species
UCACUUAGGGCCUGAUCCAAAGCCUGUUGACGUCAAUGGAAGUCUUUCCACUGACUUCAAUGAGUUCUGGAUCAGGUUCUUAGG